AUUGAACGCUGGCGGCGUGCUUAACACAUGCAAGUCGAGCGGUAAGGCCCUUUCGGGGGUACACGAGCGGCGAACGGGUGAGUAACACGUGGGUGACCUGCCUUUAGCUCUGGGAUAAGCCUGGGAAACUGGGUCUAAUACCGGAUAUGACCCUAUGGCGCAUGUUGUGGGGUGGAAAGCCUUGUGCGGCUGAGGAUGGGCCCGCGGCCUAUCAGCUUGUUGGUGGGGUGAUGGCCUACCAAGGCGACGACGGGUAGCCGGCCUGAGAGGGCGACCGGCCACACUGGGACUGAGACACGGCCCAGACUCCUACGGGAGGCAGCAGUGGGGAAUCUUGCGCAAUGGGCGAAAGCCUGACGCAGCGACGCCGCGUGA
rnacentral:rRNA from 1 species